CUGCAGCCCGAGUGGUGAUCGAUUUUAUUGAGCCUAAAGCGUCCGUAGCCGGACUAGUAAACCCUUGGGUAAAUUGGGCAGCUUAACUGUCCAAAUUCCGAGGGGACUGCUAGUCUUGGGACCGGGAGAGGUCAGAGGUACUCAAGGGGUAGGGGCUAAAUCCUGUAAUCCUUUGGGGACCACCAGUGGCGAAGGCGUCUGACUAGAACGGAUCCGACGGUAAGGGACGAAACCCUGGGGCGCGAUCCGGAUUAGAUACCCGAGUAGUCC
rnacentral:rRNA from 1 species